rnacentral:rRNA from 1 species
AUUGAACGCUGGCGGCAUGCCUUACACAUGCAAAUCGAACGGUAACGGGCCUUCGGGUGCCGACGAGUGGCGAACGGGUGAGUAAUACAUCGGAACGUGCCCGAUCGUGGGGGAUAACGAGGCGAAAGCUUUGCUAAUACCGCAUACGAUCUACGGAUGAAAGCAGGGGACCGCAAGGCCUUGCGCGGACGGAGCGGCCGAUGGCAGAUUAGGUAGUUGGUGGGAUAAAAGCUUACCAAGCCGACGAUCUGUAGCUGGUCUGAGAGGAUGAUCAGCCACACUGGGACUGAGACACGGCCCAGACUCCUACGGGAGGCAGCAGUGGGGAAUUUUGGACAAUGGGCGCAAGCCUGAUCCAGCCAUGCCGCGUGCAGGAUGAAGGCCUUCGGGUUGUAAACUGAUUUUGUACGGAACGAAAAGCCUUCUUUUAAUACAGGAGGGUCAUGACGGUACCGUAAGGAUAAGCACCGGCUAACUACGUG